CUACGAUGAACAGUAAUGGCGGUUCGACUGCACGCUGGAAAAAUCACAAGAUAUUCCCACAACGUUAGUCAUCGUACCAGGAGGUGAAAUAAAGUACAAGUUUCAUCGCAGUGAGAACUUCUUCGAGUAUCUAGUGUCUAGAGACCCCUCGCUCCUGGGGAUACCGUUGCCACACGGAAAGUAAAGAAAGCUGGGAUCAGGCUAUUCCAGUUCAGACAUUCAUCGUUGCAGAGCCGAAGAUUCCCAAACAUAUCCGUGGCUGAUGAAGAUCAUCUACGAAACUAGGCGACUCCAGCUGUCGUCGUAUACGUCAAAGGGAAUUAACACGACGUUCCCUAGGGGAAAACAUGUGAAACAUAUAAGGUAAUGAAGAUUAGUUGAAUAUUUCAAGAAAUGGGAAUUAAAUAUGGGUUAGGUUAUUACAAGCGCAU